rnacentral:lncRNA from 1 species
AUGCACGUGGAGAGCCAGAGGGUCUGCAACUCACUGAGGCACUGCAGAGCCCCCUGCCCAGCCAUGUGCCCCUCGAGGGGCCGGGCGCUCCUGCUGGACACCAGCACAUCCCGCUGGGACCCCACGGCCGGCGCCAGCCCCGAACGCCAGAGCAUUUCCAGCCCCUCUGGGCCAUUGUCCAGCCGGAUGGGGGGAGAGGUGGGCCCCUCUUCCUCUGGCCGCAGCGCAGGGCCGGGCCCUUUCCCAGCCGCUAAAAAUACCCCCGAGGAGAGGAGAGGAGAGGAGCUCCACACCAGCCUGCAGCCUCUACUGCUGCUUUGGGAUGCAGUAAUUAUAUGUGUGUGGAGCAGCUCAGUUUGGGCACUGCUAAGAAUAGCCGCCCCGAGCUGGGCACAGAGAACCGGACAGCAGCUUUCCAUACCCCACUGGGGGCUGAGGCUUCCCAGCAACCAAACCCCCCCCGGAGACAGAGCAUCUUCAGGGACCCCCUCUCAGCCCAGCAUCACUCUUCUCCAAGUAUACAACCCCGUAGCGGGGAAACGAUGCCCAGGGACCCCACACACCUACCGCCUGCUCCCGGCAGGACCGCAGGCUGGAGCUGAGCUUCUCUCCAUCCUCGCGCACCCGGCGGAGCUCCCGGCGCAGCGCAUCCUCCUCCCUCUCCCUCUCAUCAGCCAUGCGCUGCAGGCGGUCUCGCUCCUUCUCCAGCUGCGCCACGCGCAGUUCCAGCGCACGGCUCUCAUUGGCCGCCCGCUCCCGGCAGCCCCGCAGCUUCCCCAGCGCCUCCGAGCGCCACAGCAGCACCGCCACCGCCGCUGUCACCGCCGCCACCAGCAGCACCAGCAGCGUGCACAGCCCCAUUGCCUUCAGCGUGGCUCUGGGCACCGCGGGGUCCAUGCUGGGGACGUGGGACGGCGCCGCCCGGUGCCACGCAGUGUGCCCGGUUGCUCCGGGCGGUGGUUUCUCUCCGGUCACAGCCCACGGCGGUGUGGUUUGUGCUGUGCGUGGGAGGAUGGCCAGCCCCUGGACAAAGCCACCCUGCGGGGCUGUGCCGUCCGCCACCCCAAAGGGCACCGGAGCAGCAGAACGCUUUGGAUUUACAUGAAGUUUUAUUAG